GUGGCUGACACCUGAAAUCCGGCAAACAAGGCCGGCAUUCUCCUGGGCCGCGGAGUGACACGCAACUACACAAACAUCAGUAGUUCCGCCUCCCUCAGGCGUUCGGUCUUCUCGGAGGGAGGGAGGGGCACCCGGAAGGGCAGAGCCUGGCGCAGUGCAACACACUGAUCGGGAGACAGAGAAGGAUGACUUUCAUUCAUUGUUAUCGCAGCCGAUGAGUUUGUCGACAAUGAGGCUCAACUGCACCCUCGGACGCAAUUUGUUCAGGAAUGCCGUUGGGCCAAAAGGAAAAGAGCAGCUCGACCAGUGAGACGGGAUGUCCGCCACCUGCCUGCUGGCCUCCUCCAGGGACGCGCCGAUCCUCAUUUUGGGCCGCAGCAGCUCCAAGGUGUCGCUGAUCAUGUAGUCAAUGUCGAUGGGGAAGGGGUGCUCUUUGGUCCAGGCCUCCACGCUCUUCUUCCACCAGAUGUAGCGCUGCAUACACACGCCCAAGCAAGCGUCAGGCCCGUUUGCCCAUCACCGGGGUUCCUCACUCACCUGGAAGUAGAUGAGGAAGCAGUCCAGCUUCUUCUUGCUGGAGCCCCGGUCAAAGUACUGGCCGCAGGUGUCGAGCAGCGUGCACACCAGGCGGAUGCGGAAGAGGUGCUCGGGGGGGUCCAGCGAGCUGGGGCUGCCGUCCUGGUUGACGCCGAAGGAAAUGAAGGAGAAGAGCGUGCGGAAGAUGACGGCCGACUCCACCAUACGGUAGUUGUACAGCUCGCCCAGGAACUUGGCACUGCUGAUGCGCCGCUGGUUGAACUUGGGCUGGUUGACCUGUCGGCCCGCAAAGCCGACACGUCAAGGCUCCGCUUUUGGCGAGUUCUCCCGCUUUUUACGCUUGAGGGUGGACAAAGUGCACGGCGGCGGCGGCGGCAGCAGCAGCGUACCUCCAUGCCCAGCCGUAUGUCCUCCAGCACGCCGUCCACCACGUGGAUGCCCACGUCCUCCUGGUAGGCCACCAGGCCGGCCAGCAGGUUGGCCACGCAGUGGAUGCUGUUGUACUUGACGUUCCAGAUGUUGGCCAUGCAGCAGAUCAGGUAGCUCUUCACCUCGGCGUCCUGCCAAGGCAGCUUGCGCAUUUGCCUGAGCACCUUCUCGGUGGUGACCUUCGACAGGUCCUUGUAGAGCAGCUUGCGGAUGUACUCCUGGAGCGGCGGCCGCUUUUUCUUCACCGUCUUCUCCACCGGCGGCGGGUUGCAGUAGUAGUAGGCGUUCUCCACCAUGGUCACGUAGCGCGCGUCCAGAUGCUGAGCCUGCUUUUUACGCAUCAUUUGCUCCUGGAGGCCACAUCAAUAGCGGAAACAAAGUUCACCGAAAUAAUCGUCGUAAAAGCAAGAAGAAAGGGAAGAGUGGCUGACCAGCAGGACGCUCGUGCGCAGGUGAGAGUCGGGCGACCUGAAGAGGAAGCGCCCGCAGGUCUCCAGCAGGGUGCAGGCCAUCUCCACGUGGUGAUGCGUGAAGUCGGACAGCAGCAUCUGGUGGUGUCACAAAUGAACUUGUUGCCAUAGAAGAGCUUUGCGUUCAACAAUGGCAUGAAUGAUAACAAAAAUUAAAAAAAAGGGGGGGGGGCGUCUCGGUACCGCCGGACCUCUGACUAGAAAUUCCUUCUGAGAGCGGACGGGACUUUGGCGCCACUUUGCGGCAUAAGGGAAGAUGAUAGAAAAGACAACGGACAGACCCGUCGUCCAAGUCAACAAAGACGUGGGUCCACCUUGAGACAAUGAAGCGUGUCCGUCUUGGAGAACAUCUUGAACUUGGCCAGCUCGCCGAUAAACCUGACCGUUUUAUUUUUGGUCUCGAUGUUGAUCUGGUCCUUCUUGCGGAUCUGGAAGAUGAAGGCGACAGGGAAGGAACAUUGUUCAUAGACAGAGACUCUCGGGAGGUGCGGCGAGGUCGCCGGCACAGCCAGCCCGGGGGCCGUACGUGAAACCUGAAGUCUCCCUUCAGCAUGGAGCAGAGGUCCUCGGCCACGUCCGACAUGCAGGGAUGAAGCGUGGCCACCAGGCGGGAGUAAAAAGGCAGCAGAUCCAACCUCUGCCGGGGCACGGUGAAGAGCGCGCGCACCAGCUUCCUCCUGUUGGAUUUGGUGUUCAUGUUCAUGCAGAAGUCCAUGGCGGCCUGCAGGGAGGGACGCAGCCCGCUGACGUUAGGCGCCGGCCCAGCUCUCUCCACGCGCUUUGGGCUCACCUUGUCGAUGAGGUCUCUGUUGACGCAGUUUGGCAGCUGCUGGAUGAAAGCGUCCACGAUCAGCUUCAGGUGAGACCCCGUGCUGGCCUCCUCGUCCUCUUGCUCUAAAAAUCAUGGCCCGUGAGAACGAGCGUUCCGACACGAGAAAGGAAGGGCAGGUCCAUCGGCGGUGUGCUUCACCCUGCUCAUCCAUGAGCUUUUUGCUCAGCUCGUCGCUCUCGGCCUCGUCGGCUCCUUCCGCUUCCAGAGGCUCCUCGGCGAUGUCCAGCGCCUCCAGCUCUAGCUCCAGCUCCUCCGCGGUUACGGCGGCCUCCUUCGCUUCCCGGCCGUCUGUCCAAGAAAAAUAAAGAUACAAAAAUGGAAGGUCACGCACGACCCAAGUCAACUUUGAUCUGGCUCGGGUGCAAAAACAGCGAAGACAUGAUGUUGUUUUGUUUUCUUCGAUACAGAAAAGAAAUGACAAACGGUCGCAUUGGUGUUGGGUAUGAGCAAUCAAGGGGCGUGGCCUAGCGAGUAACGUCAUUUCAGACGUACCUUUGGCUUCAUCCUUGUCUUUGCUUUGUCCGCCGCCCUUGUCGUUGUCCUUGAAGAGGAUGGCGGGCACGAAGGCCUUCAGGUCCACCAGGUUCUCGUAGAAGUUGCGAGCGUCUUCGUCCUCCCAGAGGCCGCCUUCCAGGUCGUAGUCUCCGGGCUUGCCGGGGGUGAAAAUGUCGAUGCCGGGUCCGUGUUCUGCGUAAGGAAGCAAAGCUUUAUUCCGCCGAGUGGAAGGCGCGCCAGAUUGAGGCUGGAGCGAAGGAAGGACGGACGGACGGACAGACGGAGGGACGGCCCGACGGAGGGACGGCCCGACGGAGGGACGGCCGGCCUACCUUCCGGCACAAUCUUGUCCUGAGGCAACUCUGGCAUGUUUUCGUCCAGCAGGUCAGCCAGCGACUGAGUGUUGGCCAGCAGCUUCUGGUAGGACGUGGCAAACUCCUCGUACUGCUUGUGGCGGUCCUCGCUCAGCUCCCCUUUGGAAUGCAAGAUGCGCCUGUGGAGCACACACAGGGCACGUUAGCGCUCAGCGAGGGAGCGGGCGGCCCGACCGACCGACCGACCGAGCCAUUUUGAAAAACAACAAUAGGCCCGGGUCGACUCCAGCCAGCUAAAGCUCGGCCGACCUGUUCUGCCUCUCGAUGUUCUGCAGCUCCCUGUGGUCCUUCUUGAGGUGCUUGGCGAGCGAGGUGAAGUACUCGCGCAGCAGGUUCUGGAAGGGCUGCUGCUUCUCCACGCUGAUGAUCUCGCUGGGGGGGAAGGCCAGGCCGUACUUGUCUGCGGCCAUCUUGACUUUGCGGGGCAGCAGCCCGGCGAUGUCGUCGCCGCAGUGCUUGCAGAAGCUGAUCACCACCGCCACGUGCGUGUGCGUGUCGCGGUCGGCGCCGAUGAUGUUCUUGAGCUGCUCGUAGAUGAGCGACAGGCCCUCUUUGUCGGUGAAGAAGCCCACGAUGGUGAGCUCGGCCAGGAAGCGCAGGCCUGCAGGAGCAGCGGGGCAAAGUCGCCGUAGCGCUGAUGGAAGAGCGAGCACAGGUGCACGGCGCAGCCCACGUCCGAGAUCUUCAGCUUGGCCUCCACCACCGAGCUCACCGCCUCGCCGAUGUACUUGCUGAGGCUGGAGUCCAGGCGGCUGAAGAAGGCCUCUUCCGGACGGCUCUCCUGGGCAUUCUGGUUGCGGGCGCGCAGCUCCUUCCGGCAGUGGUGACGCUCCCAGGCCUCCUGGUGCAGCUGCUGACCUUCUUCCUGUUCC